AACUGCACUAUAUAUAAGCAAAACCAAACUAGAAUAAAGAUCAAUAAAUAACACAAAUAGCCAUAUAUAUAUAUAUAUAUAGCUUCAUCAAAGAUUUAAUCCAUAGCACAAACAGCCAUAAUUUUUUAAUCCAAGUAUAUUUUACCCUUAAUAACAAUGGCACCAUAUAUCAAACAAACCCUAGUUAAGCAGACACAAGCUAGCAUAACAUCCAUAUGCACCAUUUAUUGAUAACAGAAUUAAGCAUAAAUCCCUAGAUUCAUAUGGGCAUCAUAUUCUCAAUCUUGAGAUCUUUUAAGGCUUCUUAGUAUUGGUGGACUUCUUCUCAAGAUUGGCCUUGAGCUUCCUCUUCUUCUCCUCAUUAAGCAUAUCAGUGAUGAGUAUGUCACCAUCCUCGUUGGCUUCGGAUCUCAGAUUGUUGUCAUCAUUACGAACACAGUCCAAGCUCUUUAUUUUAAUUGCUCUCCCCUUGUGUCGAGGGCGCAGAUCAUAUCCCACCUUAGUCAUUGCUGAACAUAUAUGUAUGCUUCCAAUAGUUAAGAAAUGCUAGUUUUAUUGCUAAAAGAAG
rnacentral:lncRNA from 1 species